rnacentral:rRNA from 1 species
GAUGAACGCUGGCGGCGUGCCUUAGGCAUGCAAGUCGAACGGUGGUAGCAAUACCGCAGUGGCGGAAGGGUGAGUAACACGUAGGAACGUACCCAAUGGUGGAGGAUAGCUCACCGAAAGGUGAGGUAAUACUCCGUAUCUCGCAAGAGCAUAGCGCCUUACCGCGCGCCAAUGGAGCGGCCUGCGGCCUAUCAGUUUGUUGGUGAGGUAAAAGCUCACCAAGACUAUGACGGGUAGCUGGGCUGAGAGGUCGGCCAGCCACAAUGGAACUGAGACACGGUCCAUACAUCUACGGAUGGCAGCAACCGGGAAUCUUGGACAAUGGGGGAAACCCUGAUCCAGCGACGCCGCGUGAAGGAAGAAGGUCUUCGGAUUGUAAACUUCUUUUGCCGAUCAUAACGAUCGGAGAAUAAGCACCUGCCAACUACGUGCCAGCAGCCGCGGUGAUACGUAGGGUGCGAGCGUUAUCCGGAUUUACUGGGCGUAAAGGGUUGCGUAGGCGGUUUAUUAAGUCAACACUGAAAUCUCCAUGCUUAACAUGGAACCCGGUUUUGAUACUAGUAAACUUUGAGUCUUGGAGAGGUAACUGGAACUUGCAGUGGAGCGGUGAAAUGCGUUGAGAUUGCAAGGAACACCAAAGGCGUAGGCAGGUUACUGGCCGAGAUCUGACGCUGAUGCACGAAAGCCAGGGGAGCGAAUGGGAUUAGAGACCCCAGUAGUCCUGGCUGUAAACUAUGAACACUAGAUGACUGGCCCACACUUUUUUCUUGCACGGCAAGAAGAUGGUGCGGGCUGGUUGUCGCAAGCUAACGCGUUAAGUGUUCCGCCUGGGGAGUACGGCCGCAAGGCUA